CCCAGACUCCUACGGGAGGCAGCAGUGGGGAAUAUUGCACAAUGGGGGAAACCCUGAUGCAGCGACGCCGCGUGAGUGAAGAAGUAAUUCGUUAUGUAAAGCUCUAUCAGCAGGGAAGAAAAUGACGGUACCUGAGUAAGAGGCCCCGGCUAACUACGUGCCAGCAGCCGCGGUAAUACGUAGGGGGCAAGCGUUAUCCGGAUUUACUGGGUGUAAAGGGAGCGUAGACGGCAGUGCAAGUCUGGAGUGAAAGGCGGGGGCUCAACCCCCGGACUGCUCUGGAAACUGCGGCGCUGGAGUACGGGAGGGGCAGGCGGAAUUCCUGGUGUAGCGGUGAAAUGCGUAGAUAUCAGGAGGAACACCAGUGGCGAAGGCGGCUUGCUGGACAGAGACUGACGUUGAGGCGCGAAAGCGUGGGGAGCAAACAGGAUUAGAUACCCUCGUAGC
rnacentral:rRNA from 1 species